AUAUUNCCCCCCUGGGNGUACGCCCCAAGNUNAACUCAAAGAAUUACNGGGNCCCNCCANCGGUGGANUUNUGUUNAUUCGANCCACGCGAAGAACCUACCANGUCNUGACAUUGAUNGACAGANCUAGAGAUANUNCUCUUCNUCGGAAGCCAGAAAACAGGUGGUGCACGGNUGUCGUCAGCUCGUGUCGUGAGAUGUUGGGUUAAGUCCCGCAACGAGCGCAACCCCUNUCUUAUGUUGCCAGCACGUAAUGGUGGGAACUCAUGAGAGACUGCCGCAGACAAUGCGGAGGAAGGCGGGGAUGACGUCAAAUCAUCAUGCCCCUUAUGACCUGGGCUACACACGUACUACAAUGGGAGUUAAUAGACGGAAGCGAGAUCGCGAGAUGGAGCAAACCCGAGAAACACUCUCUCAGUUCGGAUCGUAGGCUGCAACUCGCCUACGUGAAGUCGGAAUCGCUAGUAAUCGCAGGUCAGCAUACUGCGGUGAAUACGUUCCCGGGCCUUGUACACACCGCCCGUCACACCACGAAAGUCGGAAGUGCCCAAAGCCGGUGGGGUAAACUUCGGGAGCCAGCCGUCUAAGGUAAAGUCGAUGAUUGGGGUGAAGUCGUA
rnacentral:rRNA from 1 species